rnacentral:tRNA from 1 species
GAGGGUAUAGCUCAAAGUGGUAGAGCACAUGCUUAGCAUGCACACGGUCCUGGGUUCAAUUCCCAGUACUUCCU